AUAAAAGUGAAACACAGAGACAUUUUAAAGAAACACUUGAAUGAAAUCAAACAGAUACAGUCUCUUAUAAAACAAACAAUACAAGCCAUACGGAAAAUCGAGAAAUCCACUGAAGUAUCUUCAACUAUUGAAUACAGCUCUAAGGUCAGAGAGUUCAGGAAGCUUCCACCCAAGGUUAAGGUUACAAUGCCAACAUUCAUUCCAAAACCAAUAGACCGUGAGAAGCUGUAUAGUUUGUUUGGACAGAUCACCCCAUUAUCUACUGCAACAGAGGAAAAUGUCAUGUCACCGAACCAACCAAACACUUCAGUCAGAGAACUACUGGAUGAACCAGAGCUCGUUGCCACAAUACAGACUGGGUAUGAAAAAGUACGAAGUGUUACCUGUCUAAAUGAUGGUAGUAUAUGGACGAGUGGAAGGACCAAUGAUAUCAAAUGCUUCAACAGUAAAGGUUCACUCCUCCAGACAAUCAAAACAAAAUCAGAAGAAUGGCCUAAUGAUAUAACUGUAGACAGUGAUGGUAAUCUACUGUACUCUGAUUGGGCAGAUAGGACAGUGAACAUAGUAAAGAAUGGACAGACAGAAGUGUUGAUCAGAUUACAGGGAUGGAUGCCUAAUAGCCUGUGUGUCACCUCUACUGGUGAUCUCCUGGUUACCAUAUUCAGUGCUGAUGGAACUCAAUCCAAACUUGUCCGUUACUCGGGAUCUACAGAAAAACAAACAAUUCAAUUUGAUGAUAAAGGUAAACCUCUGUACUCAGGGAAUGGUAACGUUAAAUACAUCACAGAGAACAGAAACAAUGACAUCUGUGUAGCUGACAGUGAAGCUGGUGCAGUAGUGGUGGUUAAUCAGGACGGGAAACUCAGAUGGAGAAACACCGGUCAUCCCUCAGUUACCAAGAACAAACCAUUUAAACCCAUUGGUAUUACAACAGACAAACAGUGUCGUAUCCUGACAACAGACAGUGACAACCAUUGUAUCCACAUUCUUGAUCAGAAUGGACAGUUUCUCCGUUACAUUGAUAACUGUGAUCUGAAGAAUCCUUAUGGUUUAUGUGUGGACAAUAAUGACAAUCUGUUUGUGUGCGAGUACUACAAAGGCAAUGUAAAGAAAAUCAAAUCUCUAAAGUAGACAUCAUCAAUGUGAUGUACAUCAAACUCUCUCUGUACAAUUUCAUCCUUGGAAUUUUAUAUAAAAUAUAUUUGAACUAUAGUUUUCUUA
rnacentral:misc_RNA from 1 species